CUGGUGUUUAACAGCUCUAGGUCGGGGAGGAGGAGUAUGGGAGGGGGGGGGGAGAGGAAGACCGGGGUCUGUACCGGGGGGGGCCCACCUCGCAGCCAUGCCCCCCCCCCCUCAAAGGGGAGCCUGUUGGAGGAGGGGGUUAAAGUGUGGUGGGGGGCUGUGGUAGAAUAAGGUUCUGCUUCAGCCAGUCGUCCGUGUUCUGCUCCACCCUGUGGACGGUAUGGGGGGGGGGGCCAAGCAGGUUUAAUGGACUCUGCUCAUCUGUUCCCCUGUCUGACCGUCCCUGGUGGGGGGGGGGGUGGUGGUGACGGCGGGGGGGGGUGGCUGCUUGGUGGUGAGCUGCUUGUAUCGUUUUAAAGUAUGUCUUGGUGAUGUGGGGGAGUGGAGGGAGGGGGGGGUGGGGGGGGGGCUGGUUGUCUGUGUGGGGCUGCAUGUGGGGAGUGCAUGUGUGUGUGUGCAUGUGUGUGUGUGUGUGUGCAUGUGUUUAUCUAGUUUGUGUGUCUGUGCAUGUGUUUGUGUGAGUAGUUUGAGUAGGUGUGUGUGUGUGUGUGCGUGUUUAAGUCAGUGUGUCUGUGUGUAAGAGUGUGUGUGUGUGUGUGAGUGAGCGUCCGUGUGUUUGAAUGUGUGUAUUCCUUGUGUGUGCGCGUUGUGUACUCUGCAGGCGUGUCCUGUGUGUGCGUGUCGCGUUGUGUCUUUGUCCCCUCGCCUCUCUUACCCACGAACAGGAAGCAGAGCCCCCCCCGGACGGCGCAGCGGCUCUUGGCCUUGGGGGGCUCGCCCAGACUGAUGCAGGGCAGCGACAUCAGCAGCAGCACCACCGCCAGCAGCGCCAGGGUGGAGGCCGUGAUCAUCAGAGCCCGGGUGGUGUGGAUGUAGGCUGCGGACGGACGGACAGACGCACCGUGACACUCGCACCCACAUUCUAAAGGGAAUUGACUUCCGUAAGCAUCCCUAGACGACAUCAACAACUGGAAACAAACCGAGCAGCGCCUACCUGGCAGCUUCAGGAUCAGGGUGAGGGGCUGACACUCGUAGUGAGCGGAGGACACCGAGCACUCCGCCCAGGGACCCUUGAGGUUGCUCUCUUCGGACUUCUUGCAGGCGUUCGUGCCGUAUUUACACAUGAUGACCCAGUUGUUGGUGGAGGUGGCGACCAGGAUGCACAGCCACCCGGGGCAGCCCAUAAGGAAGCCGCCAACUUGCGACCGGCCAUGGAUCACAGAAGAUCGUUCACUAAAUACACGAAGUGAGAACAAAAACAAACGAGACUCGCAAAUCCUAACCUCGAAAAGGGGAGAAAAAAUAAAAUCGUUGAUGUAAAAAAUGUUUACAGUACAAUCCAAUCCAGUACUGUGUGAUCGAGGUGUCCAGUUGACAGAAUAAUUAUCUAGUUACAGAUUCGUCGUGACUUUCUCAAGGAUGAUGUCUGCAUUCCACCGGCCCAGUACUUUUGGUUGAUGAAAAAAAAUACUUGCGUGAAACGUCAACCAAUCAGAGACUUGGGAAUAACUAUCCAAAAGAAGAAGGACGUCGCUCUAUCAAUCUCUCUGGAAAGUGGUCUGCACUUACCCUGCCUCGGGCCCUAUCAUUCUCAACCUUUUAGAGCAGUUUGUCGGAGACGAAUGAAUCUAAGGAGAUCUGGCUCCAUCUAGUAGUCAUGACAGGUAACGUCAGUGAAAUAUAAAGUAUGCAAACAGUAAAUGUUGACACAUGUAGGCUAACCCUAACUCCCCGGGGGGGAGGGAGAAACUGAGUUAUAUUUCAUUACUUGCAUGUGUUUUCUUUUACUUAUCUAUUAUUUAAUUUAAUUGUAUGACAAUGUUUAUAUGUGAAGCACUUUGAGUCUGCCUUGUGUAUGAAAAGUGCUAUGUAAAUAAAGUUGCCUUCCCUUGCCUUGCCUACUUUAAUAAGCUCAUAUGUAUUUGAUUCUUUAUAUAGUUUUGUGUCUGUUUUUACUACUGUCCUGUACUUUCGAUUAUGACGACGCCUUUUACAUGUGAGGGCGUUGUUUUCCUACUAUCAUAUAUUCAUAAUUCAACCAAAGGCGGUGUCACGUUAAAAUUGUACCGGGUGCGAAAAUUGUACCGGCCUACGUCAUCAGUUGUUUACAUCUUGACAACCUGCCUGGCAACAAACGACGCGAUCGUCUGUUCCCGGGCAGGUUGCAAAAAACAUUCGGCUCAUGUUUCCAAAAGACGAAAUAACAUAAUACAGAUAACGGAUCGCUAGAUAACACUUGUUUUUACUUUAUAUUUGUAUUGUAUUUAAUUGUUUAUUCGAAUAGCAACAGACGACGUGAUCGUCUGUUGCCGGGAAACGGGCGAUCGCGUCAAAUGACGUAGGAAGGUUCUUGAACAUUCGCGUCCUACGUCAUUUGACGCGAUCGCCCGUUUCCCGACGGGCGAUCUGUGUCCAGACGCCGUCAGGGUCUCUAUGUUUAGAUUGUGCAUUUUACCUAUUUUUUUUAUAUUUAAUCUUUU
rnacentral:lncRNA from 1 species